CUGAAGAUCUCUGCAGUGUCAAAGUCUGAUGAAGGUUUCUACAAGUGUCAGUACUCAGGAAGAGAGUCAGCACAGAGCUGGAUGUCAGUUAAAGGUGAGCAGGACCAAAACAUGCGAUGGAUUUUUGUAAAUGAGUUUAGUGACUCAGAAGGAACAUUAGAUUGUUUCAAAAUUGAGACAAUGUUAUAUAAACAUUUUAUGACAUUUUCACUAUUAUUAUAUUUUAUUAAUAAUAGAUGUAUUUUUGUUUGUGUCACAGUAACUGUGUCAGGAGCUGACGGCUCUUCAUCUCCUGUGUGGUUGAUGGUUGGACUGGUUUGUGGAGUCUCUCUCAUUAUUAUUCUCCUGCUCUUGUUGUAUCGCUGCAGAAGAACCAACAGUGCUGUUAAUGAGCAGACGCUCAAUCAAGAUCAGCAGCAGCACGUGUACUCCUCUCUUCUUCAUGGAAAUCGUUGUGGCUAUGAGACAGUCAGAAGAUCUGAAAACACUGGAAGUGGUAAAAUAUAGAUAUUAAUACAGAGCUUAUGGAAGGUGGAUGAUUAUAUAAUAACUUUGUUUAACAGUAAUGAGCUGGUCUAGUUUGAGGCAACAGGGAGGAAAACCUGCAUUUUCCUCCUGUAUCCGAGGUUCGACUAACAGAUGGGCUCUCCUUUCCAGCACACUUUAUUGUUAUUAUGAUUUGUCCCCCUUGUCCCCAGACUCUCCUUGCCAUAUGAAGGAUGUGUUAGUGGGAAUAAGGAGGUCCUUGAGGUAUUCCUUCCACUGCCCGACAAUAUCCUCAGUCAAAGUUCGCAGCACUCCACCCUCACUACCCACUGAGGGUUCACAGUGUGUAGUGAUGGUUCCCCGUCUGAGUCACCUGACUGUUUGCCAGAAUCUCUUCGAGACAAUCUGAAAGUCUCUUUCCAUGGCUUCUCCAAACUCCUCCCAAACCCAAGUAUUUGCUUUAACCACUGGCUGAGCUGCAUUCCAUUUUCCCAGUGGUACUUAUCGGCUGCUUUGGCAGUCCCACAGGCUAACCAAGCCCACUAGGACUCCUUCAGGUGAACAAGGCCACAGAUCUAUUAUCUAUUAUUGUAUCUAAUGAUAACAAUAAUAAAUAGUCAAAUCGAUCAUCUACCUACAGCCUCUGGUGUCCUUGUGCCACAUGUAUUUAUGGACACACUCAUGUUUAAACAUGGGGUUUGUUAUUUAUUUACAAACUGUGGUAACAAAACACAGUGGAGGUUCAGAUCUGGCAGGAUAUUCCUCUCGAUCAUGCUGUCCAGGUCUCACUGUCAUUGCCUACAUGAGUGUAGAAGUCUCCCAGUAGCACAACGGAGUCGUCAAGUGGAGCACCCCCUAGAACCCCUCAGCCCCACCCUCACCCAACAACAGCCCCUGGGAUGCCUAGGACACACAAACUCCUCCACUGUGAUAAGGUAGCGAUUCACAGAAGGAAGCAUUAACAUCAAUAAGAUUAUAAUUUCAGGUCCAGCAGAAGAUGUUUACGCCAAUGUCGCAUCUGUGAUUCAGCUCAAGGUCAUUAACAAGACAACAGGGCAACGUGGUGACCCAGAGGAGAGCUCUGACUACAAUAAUGUCAAUCUGUCAGGGUGUUUGGUGUUUGACUCAGCAUUCUGAGGUUAUUUUGGUUUUGUGAGUCUCUCUGUGAUCGUGUGAACAUGGUGUAAAUUUAACUUUAUACAGUUUAGCCUUGAGUUUAGUGCUUUCUGUGUUUCUGAGUUUUCUUGUAUUUCCAGUUUAUGCUUUAUUGUCUGUGAGGUUCCUCUUGUGUCUUUGUCUCAUCCCUGUGUCUAUUGUGUGAGUCUCUCAUGUGACCCAUAUUUACGCUCCCUUGGCCUCUGUGUAUCUUAGUAGUGUUUUGUCUUCCUUACCUUUUGCCCCGUUUUUCUCCUUGUGUUUCAGCUUUUGUAUCCCUGCUUGUUUCUGCUGUUUCUGCAUGAAGCUCGUGUGUUCAUGUACUUCCUGUUUUAUUUUUACAGUCUUUGGUCUCAUGUGCAGUGUGUUUGCUUUUGCUUCCCUGUCUCAUUACAUUUAAUUCAUCCGAGCUGUUUUCUGAUGUGUUUCCACUUUCCUGAUCACCCUCUUGUGCGGUGUUGGGAAGGUUACUUUUCAAAUGUAUUCCACUGCAGGUUACAGAAUAAAUGCCCCAAAAUGUAUUUUGUAACGUAUUCAGAAUACUUUGGAUUAAUUAAUAUACUGUCAUGCUUUUUACAACUACAUGAAUGUACUAUUUGUUUGUGAUGUAUUACUAUUACUUAAGGUUACUCGCUAAACCAAUACCAACUAGAUUUUUACAUUUUAUUAUAAAAUGAGUAACAGUAGGUGGACAUCAUGUACGGCUGCACUUUUUGCAGUGAUCUCGUAUAGAAAACUAUUCUGCGCGUAUA